GCGCCAGACUCCUACGGGAGGCAGCAGUGGGGAAUAUUGCACAAUGGGGGGAACCCUGAUGCAGCGACGCCGCGUGGGUGAAGGAGCACCUCGGUGCGUAAAGCCCUAUCGGCAGGGAAGAAACGGACGGUACCUGAAGAACAAGCCCUGGCUAACUACGGGCCAGCAGCCGCGGGAAUACGGAGGGGGCAAGCGUUAUCCGGAUUCACUGGGUGUAAAGGGAGCGUAGACGGCCAUGCAAGCCUGGAGUGAAAGCCCGGGGCCCAACCCCGGGACUGCUCUGGGAACUGUGCGGCUGGAGUGCGGGAGGGGCAGGCGGAAUUCCUGGUGUAGCGGUGAAAUGCGUAGAUAUCAGGAGGAACACCAGUGGCGAAGGCGGUCUGCUGGACAGCAACUGACGCUGAGGCGCGAAAGCGUGGGGAGCAAACAGGAUUAGAUACCCCUGUAUGA
rnacentral:rRNA from 1 species